ACAGAAGCCAAGGAAAAGUUUUACUCCAAAGUCUCUGUGAAACAGCAUUUCUUUCUGACUUUAAAUGUUGUAAUUAAAAAUUGAGAGGAGAAGAGAACAAAGUUAAACCAACCUGAAAACUCUGCUGCUUUGACAAAUAAAGAGAUGAUCACUACUUGUACUUAAUACUUGCUAUCUUCUACUUACAGUAAUGCUAAGAAUCACAGGAACACAAGUACUUGAAAAUGGAGGAAUUCCAAAAAUAGUUUCUAUUACUAUGGAAGUAUCAGCAAAAUCUAUCAGAAAAAAGAAGAAAAUGCCAGGGCUACAUUCAGCAAAGGAUAAUCAUCUCUUAUGCUACAACAUGUGGGAGCUGUCAUCUGGAUGGUGUUAGAAAGUCUAAUUCACCCAGUAGAUUCAGACAAGUAUGUUAAAUAAGGUGCCACUAGGAAGGAGUCAGAAAUGCAGAGGGGGCUUGAGGGUCUGGACAGUACUGUACUCCAUUUGUAUGUGUAUGUAAGUAAAUAUGGAUAAGCUAGAAAACAAAAACAAAGACAAAAUGGAAUACCAUCUAUGUUUCUCUGAAGGAUCACUAAGACUUAAAUGCUUGUAACAUUAGGGAAAAGCAGUGUGAAGCGAAAUCCAGAAUGUCAGCUUCUCUGUUUGUGCUAAGUCGAGUUCAAGAUGAAGAAUUCUUUCGCAGUUUAAAGGUGUAUUCCUCCUCAAUCCCACACUCCAGCCUCACAACAUCAUCCAGGGUGUUAGUUCCCUAAAGAAAGAAAAUGGCCCCUCGAAACUCCAAGGAAUGGGUUCUCUCUUUAUCGAUGUUAGCAAGACCUACUGUUCUGCUCUGAACAGCUUUUGUGAAAACAUAGUGUUUAAACAGCCUCCUGGUUUUUCCAUCUUUUUUCCUCUUUCCCUUCUUUUGCAAAUGAAUUUCUUUCUCUAGGUUAGGAGGAGUAGUUAGAGGGCUUUGUCUGGGCACCGACUGAAAGAAGCAGUCAAAAAGCUUGAAAAUUGAACAGAGAAAGAGUUUGGGGGAGGGGGCAAGGCAAAAGCCUCUGCAGAAAAUUAUUCCUGCAAGCCCAGCAAGGACCUUAGCUACCUUCCUUUUUCUGUUUCUUCAUUUGCUUAUUUGGGUUUAUGCAUGAGAGAGCAUCUAUGCCGUUUCUGUGUUUUCCUGUCACAGAUAAGUGAAAGGAAUGAGUUUAGAACUAAAUUGAAAAGUGCGCAGGAUGGAGAAGUGGUGGGAAAUUCAAUCAAUGUAU